rnacentral:lncRNA from 1 species
UUUAUGCGACAAGGGUUAGUAUUUAUAGGUUGGAAUACAUGUCAAAAUCCCUAAGGAUUUGGAUAGGUUCUGAAAUUAAAAUGGGAUAAGGAUUGUGAAACCAAAACCCAAGUGGAAUGGGUUAAAACAAUCAAAAACCAAAGGGGAUUAGGUUAGAAAGGUGCGGCACUAAUUCCUGCAAGGAAAGGGAUACAUUUGGCCUAAAUCAAGAGGGAAAAUGAUUGAGAUUUCAGGUUCUAGAGCUUCUAGAAAAGGGGAAAAUGGCCAGAUUUUUAGGUGCUUCUAGAAAAGAUGUUUUAGCAUCAAUUUAGGGCUUCUAGAAGGAUAAGGUUCUAGAAUCUGAAAUAUAUAGUUUAAAUACAUAAUUAUCCCUUAGAAAUAGUUGGAAUCAAGGCACAAAUUGAUUUGGAUAAGAUAGGAUAAGAUAAGGUGAGGUUAGGCAAGGAUAAGAUAAGAUAAGGUUGGAUAAGGUUUUGGAUAAUGUUCCUUCUUUUGUGUUGAUUUCUUAUCUUCCUUGACUUGGAUUUAUUUCUUCACUCUUUUCAACUCAUUCCUAGCCUCUUGAACUUCAAAUUUGUCCAUCCAUCUUGCUCCAUUCAUAAGCUAUCCAUUUGGUGCCCAAAACUGCCUCAAAAUGCUCCAAAUUGCACUUUCUUUCUAACUUUGUCAUAUGGACCUACAAACACACGAAAAUAUCUUAAAACACAAUAAUAAACACAAACAAACUAUGAAAAUGCAAGAAAACAAGCUAACUAAGUCGCAUAAAUAUGCUCCUAUCAAAUUCCCCCACACUUAGCUUUUGCUAGUCCUCGAGCAAAACAAAGGAAACAAAACAAACAAAACAUAACCUAAACCUUCCAACAUUUGUCUCAGGGAUUUCCAAUGAAACAUGACACAUUAAAAAUCACUACUUACAUAGAUUUUAGUUAUCCUUACCCUCGAGCACAUACUUAAUCAUAAUCACCAUUCACUAGCUCGCAUUUAAUCAAUUUAAAACAUCAUUUUGAAUGUAGUAACAUGCCUUAGAGAAGUCCCUCAAGUCCUUACUAGAUAUGCACUCAAUUUUCACUCAGAUUUUCUGACUACACACCCUAUACUAGGUAUAUGUGAGAAGAUUGAUGUAAACAUGUAGACUAGCCACUCACAUAUGUUAUAUCAAAGAAAGCAAUUUCUGGAAUUAUUAAUGCAUGUAUAUAUAUAUGAUCUCAUGAAUGGGACGCAAGAACCAGGGAUACCAUAUGCUCAUACCAAUCCCAAACUCCACAGAUUGAAACACACAACAACCAAGAUUAAAGUCUAAGGGUUGUAAUGGGGCUAAGGGUAUUGGCUAACAAAGAAAGGUUAAGGAUAAACAAACGUUCUUAAAGCAAUAGUAAGCAAAGCAAUGAAAUCAACUUAGAAUUCACUUUAGAAUGCAGAAAUCAACUUUAAAACACAAGGAAAGAUUCAUGCAUAUUUAGGGCCAAAUUCAACUUUUUGGACCCUU